GCACGAAGGUUUCGGCCUUAGUGGCGGACGGGUGAGUAACGCGUAGGUAUCUAUCCAUGGGUGGGGGAUAACACUGGGAAACUGGUGCUAAUACCGCAUGACACCUGAGGGUCAAAGGCGUAAGUCGCCUGUGGAGGAGCCUGCGUUUGAUUAGCUAGUUGGUGGGGUAAAGGCCUACCAAGGCGAUGAUCAAUAGCUGGUUUGAGAGGAUGAUCAGCCACACUGGGACUGAGACACGGCCCAGACUCCUACGGGAGGCAGCAGUGGGGAAUAUUGGACAAUGGGGGCAACCCUGAUCCAGCAAUGCCGCGUGUGUGAAGAAGGUCUUCGGAUUGUAAAGCACUUUCGACGGGGACGAUGAUGACGGUACCCGUAGAAGAAGCCCCGGCUAACUUCGUGCCAGCAGCCGCGGUAAUACGAAGGGGGCUAGCGUUGCUCGGAAUGACUGGGCGUAAAGGGCGUGUAGGCGGUUUGUACAGUCAGAUGUGAAAUCCCCGGGCUUAACCUGGGAGCUGCAUUUGAUACGUGCAGACUAGAGUGUGAGAGAGGGUUGUGGAAUUCCCAGUGUAGAGGUGAAAUUCGUAGAUAUUGGGAAGAACACCGGUGGCGAAGGCGGCAACCUGGCUCAUUACUGACGCUGAGGCGCGAAAGCGUGGGGAGCAAACAGGAUUAGAUACCCUGGUAGUCCACGCUGUAAACGAUGUGUGCUAGAUGUUGGGUGACUUAGUCAUUCAGUGUCGCAGUUAACGCGUUAAGCACACCGCCUGGGGAGUACGGCCGCAAG
rnacentral:rRNA from 1 species